GACGAACGCUGGCGGCGUGCUUAACACAUGCAAGUCGAACGGAAAGGCCCUGCUUUUGUGGGGUGCUCGAGUGGCGAACGGGUGAGUAACACGUGAGUAACCUGCCCUUGACUUUGGGAUAACUUCAGGAAACUGGGGCUAAUACCGGAUAGGAGCUCCUGCUGCAUGGUGGGGGUUGGAAAGUUUCGGCGGUUGGGGAUGGACUCGCGGCUUAUCAGCUUGUUGGUGGGGUAGUGGCUUACCAAGGCUUUGACGGGUAGCCGGCCUGAGAGGGUGACCGGCCACAUUGGGACUGAGAUACGGCCCAGACUCCUACGGGAGGCAGCAGUGGGGAAUAUUGCACAAUGGGCGGGAGCCUGAUGCAGCAACGCCGCGUGCGGGAUGACGGCCUUCGGGUUGUAAACCGCUUUCGCCUGUGACGAAGCGUGAGUGUCGGUAAUGGGUAAAGAAGCACCGGCUAACUACGUG
rnacentral:rRNA from 1 species